UUCUGACACAACUAACAAUUCUGACAUUUUAACUAAUAAUUCUGACAUCUAACCUCAUAUUUUUGACAUUAAACUCAUAACUUUGACAUUUUAACUCAUAAUUUUGACAUUUUGUCCCAUAAUUUCAAUGUAUAACCCCAUCAUUCUGACCUUUACCUUUGAGAUCAUAAUGAGUACAUUUUAAGUCAUAAUAUAACUAAUCCUCAUCCAUUAUGGUUAAAGCCUUCUCCUCCAGUCAAAUAUAACUCUCCUCUCCACCAGGGGGCCUUCUGAAGACGCCUGAGCCGGACAACACGCAGUGAACGCGGCUGUACACCUGGCGCUGCUCCGCCGCCUCAGUCCGCAGGUAUCUGCAGAAUCUCAAACAUGGCAUCAUAAAUUCCAGAUGUGCAUCGAGUGCUGCGAUCGCCGUCAGGUCAAAGACGGCAGAAAAAUGCUCCCACUUCAAACAGAGCUGGAGGAGGCUGCGUGGGCCGCUGAGCCGCCGGCAAAUCGUUUGUCUUCUGGCGGCUUUAACCUCGACGUGUAGAGUCAAACCGAGCGAUGUCGAGGAUCAAGACGAGGCUGCGGACAAACGAGGAGUGUUAGUCCGACCUGAGACGUCCACCAGCUGAAAAAUGCAACACCUGCUUCAACCAAAGACAGUAAAAAUGAAACGAUACUGAAGCAUCUCUGCUCAAGCUCACCUAACACAGCUGUGAUCCUGAAACACAUGUGCCUUUAAUUUUCAAUGACUUCAGCUCAAUUCUUAACUCGUGAAAACAAGUUUCUUACUUUUAACCAAAUAUCUUCAACUGCCAACCUGUAAGCAUUUCCUAGAAACAUGGCCAACAUCGUCUUUUUCUUUCUUUUUUUUUAGCAUUUUAAGUUUGUUUUUUUCACAUAAUCUCUGAUUGAAGUAUUGUUAACUGUUUUGAGUUUUUACAAGGGGAAACAGUUGGUUGAAAAUGCUAGGACUUUCAAAAUAAAAGCCAUUCAGUGAAGUCUGCAACAAUACGUCCUAUACUACGUGCGGCUAGACUUUCAAAAUAAAGCUAAUUGAAAACAGCUCACAUAUUCU
rnacentral:lncRNA from 1 species